rnacentral:rRNA from 1 species
CGAUAGCGUAUAUUAAAGUUGUUGCAGUUAAAAAGCUCGUAGUUGGAUUUCUGGUGGGAGCGAUCGGUCUGGCGCUUAGCGCGAGUACUUGCAUCGUCUCCGGCCAUCCUUGGGGAGAGUCUGUCUGGCAUUAGGUUGUCGGGCAGAGGAUCCUCAUCGUUUACUGUGAAAAAAUUAGAGUGUUCAAAGCAGGCUUAUGCCGUUGAAUAUAUUAGCAUGGAAUAAUAAGAUAGGACUUUGGUACUAUUUUGUUGGUUUGCGCACCAAAGUAAUGAUUAAUAGGGACAGUUGGGGGUAUUCGUAUUCCGUUGUCAGAGGUGAAAUUCUUGGAUUUACGGAAGACGAACUACUGCGAAAGCAUUUACCAAGGAUGUUUUCAUUAA